GAUGAAGAACGUAGCGAAAUGCGAUAAGUAGUGUGAAUUGCAGAAUUCAGUGAAUCAUCGAAUCUUUGAACGCACAUUGCGCCCCUUGGUAUUCCAUGGGGCAUGCCUGUUCGAGCGUCAUUUGUACCUUCAAGCUCUGCUUGGUGUUGGGUGUUUGUCUCGCCUCUGCGUGUAGACUCGCCUCAAAAUAAUUGGCAGCCGGCGUAUUGAUUUCGGAGCGCAGUACAUCUCGCGCUUUGCACUCAUAACGACGACGUCCAAAAGUACAUUUUUACAUUCUUGACCUCGGAUCAGGUAGGGAUACCCGCUGAACUUAAGCAUAUCAAUAAGCGGAGGA
rnacentral:misc_RNA from 1 species